AUGACUUUCAUCACAAUCUUCAUCUGGACACUUUUGUUUUAUACGGAAGACUCCAGAGGACAGGUGACUGUGACUCAGACUCCUGAAGUGAAAUCUGCUCUUCCAGGAGACACAGUCACUAUUAACUGUAAAUCCAGUCCUGCAGUGUACCGGCGGGGUAAUGGAGAUGAAGAGCUGUUCUGGUACCAACAGAAACCUGGACAGGCUCCUAAACUCCUCAUAUAUUUCACAAAGAAGUUAGAGUCAGGAAUUCCAAAUCGUUUCAGUGGCAGUGGAUCUGGGACUGACUUCACUCUGACCAUCACAGGAGUCCAGACUGAAGAUGCAGGAGAUUAUUACUGUCAGAGGUUGGACACUUUUCCUGGACAAUAUUUUCUUUUUCCUAGUUACGCUAUACCUGUUCCAAGAACGUCUGUCUUACCUUCACCUCAAACACCCUUGAUGCUUCUCUUUCUAGUGUAA